GAUGAAGAACGUAGCGAAAUGCGAUACUUGGUGUGAAUUGCAGAAUCCCGUGAACCAUCGAGUCUUUGAACGCAAGUUGCGCCCGAAGCCAUUAGGCCGAGGGCACGCCUGCCUGGGCGUCACACGUCGUUGCCCCCCCAUCUACUCCUUCGGGAUUGCGGGGGGCGUAUGAUGGCCUCCCGUGCGCCUCGCCGCGCGGUUGGCAUAAAUGCCAAGUCCUCGGCGACGCACGCCACGACAAUCGGUGGUUGCGAAACCUCGGUUGCCCGUCGUGUGCGGUCGUCGCGCAUCGAGGGCUCGAAAAAAUUGCCGGGUUCCGGCUCGGCUUUCAACGCGACCCCAGGUCAGGCGGGGUUACCCGCUGAAUUUAAGCAUAUCAAUAAGCGGAGGA
rnacentral:misc_RNA from 1 species